rfam:Oryza sativa Japonica Group DNA, chromosome 1, cultivar: Nipponbare, complete sequence.
AAAAAGACAAACGCUGGUUUCCGUGUCCAAUGUUUGACCGUCCGUCUUAUUUAGAAAAAAAUAUGAAAAAAAUUAAAAAGACAAGUCACGCAUAAAAUAUUAAUCAUGUUUUAUCAUCUAACAAUAAUAAAAAUACGAAUUAUAAAAAAAAAUUUCAUAUAAGACGGACAGUCAAAGUUGGACACGGAAACCCAGGGUUUGUCUUUUU